rnacentral:rRNA from 1 species
GACGAACGCUGGCGGCGUGCCUAAUACAUGCAAGUAGAACGCUGAAGGAGGGGCUUGCUUCUCCGGAUGAGUUGCGAACGGGUGAGUAACGCGUAGGUAACCUGCCUGGUAGCGGGGGAUAACUAUUGGAAACGAUAGCUAAUACCGCAUAAGAGUAGAUGUCGCAUGACAUUUGCUUAAAAGGUGCAACUGCACCACUACCAGAUGGACCUGCGUUGUAUUAGCUAGUUGGUGAGGUAACGGCUCACCAAGGCAACGAUACAUAGCCGACCUGAGAGGGUGAUCGGCCACACUGGGACUGAGACACGGCCCAGACUCCUACGGGAGGCAGCAGUAGGGAAUCUUCGGCAAUGGACGGAAGUCUGACCGAGCAACGCCGCGGGAGUGAAGAAGGUUUUCGGAUCGUAAAGCUCUGUUGUAAGAGAAGAACGAGUGUGAGAGUGGAAAGUUCACACUGUGACGGUAGCUUACCAGAAAGGGACGGCUAACUACGUG